rnacentral:sRNA from 1 species
AUUUAGCCCGCGUUAGCGAUUGAAACGACAUCCUUUUUUGAGGGACGAGAAAAAGAUAUAGUAUAAAGCGCGACCCUUG